GACUCUUAGCAAUGGAUAUUUAUUUCUCUUGUUAAUGAAGAACACAGAAAAAUGAAAAAUUUGGCGUGAAUUACAUAAUCAUGUUAAUCAUUGAGUUUUUGAAUGGAAUUUUUGUUUGAGUCCUC
rnacentral:rRNA from 1 species